rnacentral:rRNA from 1 species
AACGAACGCUGGCGGCAGGCUUAACACAUGCAAGUCGAACGCAUCCUUCGGGAUGAGUGGCAGACGGGUGAGUAACACGUGGGAACCUACCCAAAGGUACGGAAUAACACAGGGAAACUUGUGCUAAUACCGUAUGUGCCCUUCGGGGGAAAGAUUUAUCGCCUUUGGAUGGGCCCGCGUCGGAUUAGCUAGUUGGUGGGGUAAUGGCCUACCAAGGCGACGAUCCGUAGCUGGUCUGAGAGGAUGAUCAGCCACACUGGGACUGAGACACGGCCCAGACUCCUACGGGAGGCAGCAGUGGGGAAUAUUGGACAAUGGGCGCAAGCCUGAUCCAGCCAUGCCGCGUGAGUGAUGAAGGCCUUAGGGUUGUAAAGCUCUUUCAGCUGGGAAGAUAAUGACGGUACCAGCAGAAGAAGCCCCAGCUAACUUCGUGCCAGCCGCCGCCGUAAUAC